AGUGUGUGUGUGAAUGUUUAGUAGGAAACAUGCAGCAAUAAACUAACAUAGCAGCGUACGUGUGAGUGAGUGAGUGAGUGUGUGAGUGAGUGAGUGAGUGUGUGUGUGUGUGUUUGUGUGUGUGUGUGUAUGUGUGGAAUUUUUUUUCUCUUUUUAACCUUUUAGCACAAUAUGUAGUAAACAAACAAACAAACAAGCACCAGGUUGAGUUUUUGGAUGUUGUGCGACCAUUCGGUCAGCUUGGAAAGAUGUUUGCUUUUGAGAGGUGAGAGAAGCCUGGAUCUUUUCGUAGGGGGCAGCAGGAACCACGCACGCCGGGGCUGAUGAGCAGGCCGUGCACGCAUGGCAACGCCGCACCGCCUUGUCUUGUCGGAGCGGGAUCUCCAACCACGCGUGCAAAUUAACAUCAAUUACCCGACCGGUUUGACUUUCUGAUGGCUCACAGAAGCAGCGUCUGGGAUGUGCAGAUUAAAGCGCCGAGACAGGAGCGAGUUAUCAGACGUUCACACGUGGCCGAGCGCGCCCUUAUUAAGUUUCCGAUAUUCUGUGGAGGCCUUUGUACUCCGGAGGCUCUGC
ensembl:lncRNA